GUUUUGCAAAUAUUUCCUUGCAGUCUGUGGGUUGUCUUUUAGUUCUUUGAGCAAGGUCUUUCAUAGUAGAGGUGUUAAUUUUAUAAAGUUCACAGUAUAAUUUCUUUUUUCUUUUUUGGAUUGGAUUUUGGUGUUGUGUGUUGAAACUCACCACUAAGCCCGGGGCGCCUGGGUGGCUCAGUCGGUUGAACGCCUGCCUUCCUCUCCGGUCGUGGUCCCGGGGUUCUGGGAUUGAGCCCCGCGUCUGGCUCCCUGCUCAGUGGGGAGUGUGCCUCUCCCUCUGGCCCUCGCCCAGCUCGUGCUCCCCGCCUCUCACUCUGUCACUCUCUCAAAUAAAUAAAUAAAACAUUAAAAAAAAACCUCAUCACCAAGCCCAAGGUCACGUGGAUUCCUUUUCUUUCUGAUAAUUUGAUAGUUGUGCAUUUUAAAUUUAUGUACAAUUUGGUGUGAAUUUUGGUGUAAGUUGUAAAGCUUUGGUCUACAUUUCAUUUUAUUCUAUAUGCUUUCCAAGUAAUUGUUCUUUAGGUGUUUCUGGAGAAGCCGGGAUAUUGUACUCCAUUUCAGGUAGAAAGUCCCCAAAAUUUAUCGGAUUCAGCUGGCCCCGGGGGAAGGGGUCGGUGCCUCCCCUGAACUGUGCACCGAGUCCUGCACUGCCUCCGCUGGCCGCAGGGGGCGCCCGAACCCAGCUGCCCACCCCGUGCGGCGCGUGCGCGCUCAGGCGGCUUCAUCUCUGCCUGGGGUGCCAGGAGUCCUCCCCCGGACCCGCUGUGGAGGUUUGGGAGGACGUGGGACCGCCUCCACACCGACAGGAGCCCGGCCUUCUCAGGACCCGCCUGGGAGGAGAAGUGAAAAAUAAAUGUUCCUGGUUCCCAACUCCAACGGCACAGAAGGGCGGCUCGUCCUCAUCCUGGAGGCUUCCCUGCAGAACCAAGCAUACAUAUAUAUAUUCCAUCAUGAACGGGCUCAUCCUACAAGGAUGCUUUGAAGGUCCAAGAAGCACUAUCCACUCCCUGGUCUCUUCUGCCUGA
rnacentral:lncRNA from 1 species